CAUAGCGACUAUCGUAGCAUAUCAAUAAGCGGAGGAAAAGAAACUAACUAGGAUUCCCUUAGUAACGGCGAGUGAAGCGGGAAGAGCUCAAAUUUGAAAUCUUCAAGGUUCUACCUUGACGAAUUGUAGUUUAUAAGAAGUGUUUUCUGUUAGUAGAGUUGGCUAAAAGUUCUUUGGAAUAGGACAUCAUAGAGGGUGAGAAUCCCGUAUUUGAUCAUUCUUUCUAACUUUGUGAUACACUUUCAACGAGUCGGAUUGUUUGGGAAUGCAGUCCAAAAUGGGUGGUAAAUUUCAUCUAAAGCUAAAUAUUGGCGAGAGACCGAUAGCGAACAAGUACCGUGAGGGAAAGAUGAAAAGAACUUUGAAAAGAGAGUUAAACAGUACGUGAAAUUGUCAAAAGGGAAGCGUUUGACACCAGUGUUGUUUUUCCGAAAAUCAAUUACGAAUGUUUUGUUUUUAAGAAGUUAUGACUUCAUCGGCUCGCUUCUCUCUUUACGAAACUUUCUUAAUGCACUUUUCGGUUAACAAGUCAACAUCAAUUUCUUUUGUUGUAAAAGGGUAUGAGGAAGGUGGCUUUCUUUUCGGAGAAAGUGUUUAUAGCCUUGUACCUCUGCAAUCGGAGAGAUUGAGGUCUGCAGCGUAGAUCCUUCGGGGUUAGAUACAUUUGUGCUAAGUUAUAGCUUUUCAUAGACAACUUGUUGACUAUGUUAGUCUUGUAGCUUACUCGCUUAUGCUAUUUUACCUACGCUUAGGAUGUUGAAGAUAUGCGCGACACG
rnacentral:rRNA from 1 species